CAGUAGCCGCGGUAAUACGUAGGGUGCAAGCGUUAAUCGGAAUUACUGGGCGUAAGGCGCGCGUAGGUGGUUCGCCAAGUUGGAUGUGAAAUCCCCGGGCUCAACCUGGGAACUGCAUCCAAAACUGGCGAGCUAGAGUAUGGUAGAGGGUGGUGGAAUUUCCUGUGUAGCGGUGAAAUGCGUAGAUAUAGGAAGGAACAUCAGUGGCGAAGGCGACCACCUGGACUGAUACUGACACUGAGGUGCGAAAGCGUGGGGAGCAAACAGGAUUAGAUACCCCAGUAGUCCCUGUCUCUUAUAC
rnacentral:rRNA from 1 species